GGAGGAGAGCCAGGCUGGGUGCCUGUGGAUGGUGCUUCCCCACAGCCCUGCCUCCUGAUGCCUUGGUGCCCAGUGGAGCAGGCGGGUUGGCCACCCAUGCCAGUCCUGUGACCAAUCUUGUUAUAGGUCCACACCUUAGUUUAUGUUACCAGUCAGGUCUUUUCCAGGGCAAAUGUACUCUGAUUCUUUAAGAACAGAGCCAUGAUUUCUGUGGUCUGAUUUGGAUUUUUAGCUGGAAGCUUUCUAAGUUUUAAAUACCCAUGUCCAUCAGGAAGUCCUUAAAGAAGAAAUAAUUUAUCAAAAAAUAAAAAGGUGUGGAGUUAGAUAGGAUGGUAAUUUCAGCCCUCCCAACCCACUGGCUAGAGGCUCAGAGAUCAUACAAGGCAGUGUUAACUUAAAAAAAAAGUCAUACAAUGUGUACAUUUGGAAAGGAGACUUUAUUUCUUACAAAGGGUUCCAUCCUGCAAGGUGGCCAUCCCGCAGGCUGGGAAGUAUAGCCAGGCACUUUGAGGGAAGGAGAGGUAAGACAAGAAUUUAAGUUGAAUGGGUUGAUCAAACAUACAUAUUUAACAGGUUAUAGGAGGAGCUGUGACUAUUCACGAAGGAGGUCCUCACACAUGGAUAAUGAACUAAUGUGCGUGUAACACACGACCCAUGUUCACCUUGGGGUGGAGACUUAUCCUUUAAGUGUAUUACAGUUAGGCCCUAUGCGUCAAAAGAUCCUUUCGGGACACAGAAGCACUGAAGUGGGGAGCCUCUGUAAACUGGCCAGACCCAGUUCAUGGUUGGUGGUCUUCUUAUCUGGAGAAAGUUACUGAUAUCAGUCUUGUCCAAUCAAAGCUGUGGUUAUGGCUGAUGGAACGGAGGCUCAUUUAGUCAGCAUUUGUGAAUGGAAUGAGUUGUAGUUGUUCUAACAUUGCUCAUCUUGGGGCCAGUGCUUGUUGAGAUGCCAGAGAAAAAAAACCUUGUGGCCGUGAGAACGCAGUUUUUUCUUAAGGUGUAGGGGUGCGGGACUUAACCAUUGCCUGGCAGGGCUUUAGGUUCUGUGUAUAAUUUGGUAUCUUAUGGCCACCAAGAGUCUUUUCUGUUAGUCUUAAGAUCUCUGUUUUAACAUUAAUGCUGGUCAGUUGUGUCUAAACUGCAAAAGAGAGGGGGUAUAAUGAGGGGUGUCUCACCUCCCAUCCUGUCAUGGCUGGGAACUCAGUUUUUAAGGUUUUUCUGGGGUCCCCUUGGCCAAAAGGGAGUCUGUUAAGUCAAUGGAGGAGCUUAGGAUUUUAUUUUUAGGGUACACUAGUGAAGAAAAAAGCAAACAAACAAAAUUCUGUAAACAGCAAUGAGGAUGUUACAAUCACUCUGUGUUUUACUUGUCAUCAUGUUACUGGAAGCCACAUUAGACAGCUCGUCCUUGUGACUGCUUUCCAAAGAAGACAUGAGCAGGAAUGUUUCUGGUGUGAUCAGUAUGCAAAUGCCGCAUUUCAGGUCUGACUUCUUUACCUUUGUUCCAUGUCCUUAGAAAACACUUUCUACCAGGACUUUUCUGGAUGUCAAGGCUACUCUGAAGCCCCUGGGUACCGCUCAGCUCUGUGGCUGACACCUGAGCAGACCUGCCUGCUCCAGCCCAGCCCACAGCAGCCCUUUCCCCUCCAGCUGGGCUCCUACCCAGCAGGAGGGGGUGCAGGGCAGACAGGGACACCGAGGCCUUUUUACUCAGUUCCUGAGACCCAUCUACCAGGGACUGGCAGCAGCGUGGCAGUGACAGAGGCCACUGGAGGAACAGUCUGGGAGGAAACGCUGCAGACACACCUGGGCCCUGGAGAGAACACAGUGUCUCAAGAAACUUCCCAGCCUCCUGAUGGCCAAGAGGUCAUUUCCAAACCACAGGUGAGAGCGCACAGCAUAAAAGAUGCCACUGCCCACUCAAAUGCUUCUGGUUUUUACCAGUUGCCUUGGUUUCCCGGCCACAUGCAAGCUCCUCCUCAGUGUUGCAGCAGCUUUCUCUUCCACAUCUCACCUUGCCUUUUCCUAUUCCAACUCCUGGGAGCUGGGCGGGAGGCUGUGUUCUUGUUUACACUCAGCCCCACAAACCUGUGUCCAUGAGGAGAGAGGGAGCAACUGAGCUGAUUCGUUUUGGCCUCUCAGAUCUCUGUUACCUCUGACAUCUUCU
rnacentral:lncRNA from 1 species